CUGUCAGGUUAUUCUGCACUAAAGGUUAUACUGGUGCAAAGCUUUUUCCAACUCUGUCUAGGAUGCAGGAAAUGAUUUCAGAAGAACUGUUUAACAUCAAAUAUAAGUUCUGCAUUAGAAGUAAACAUGUAUUUAGUCAUUUGCAGAGAUGGAAGAAGUACUCAGAUGUUGUACUUGAUUAUAGGCAGAAGUACCAGAGAGGAAUACAGUAACAAGUAAAAGUGCUUCAUUCAAAAUGUUACUCAAGUAAAAGUAUUAGCAUCAAAUAUACUUAAAGUACCAGAAGUAAAAGUACUCAUUAUGCAGAUUGAUCCAUUUCAGAAUAAUAUAUGUUUUGAUUAUAAUUAUUGAUGCAUUACUGCAGUGUUCUCAAAGCUGGUAAAGGUGCAGCUAGUUUUAAUGACUUUGUAUACUGCAGGUAGCUUGUGAAUUUACUCCAAGUGUAACUAAAGUCUGAUUUCACAUCAUUAAUCCAGAUCUGGGUUAUUAAUGAUCAACUAUAAGUGAACAGAGAUUAAUAGGCAGAAACAGCAUUCAGUGGCAACACAAAUAGUGCACGAUACAACAUUAUUAGAAAACAAAUGUUUUUAAUGCUCACAUUAUACAUGAACAAAUAAGUCUACAUUGUAUAUUAAAUAUGGUCUCGUCGAUGAAUAGGGUACAUGUGGGAUUUAUAAGAAGACACAUUUUGAAAGUGAAAGUAUCCUCAUUCCCUCUAUUGUCAGCCUACACCCUGAGUUACAUCAGACUACCUCUUAGCAGCAGAAAGCAGCACAAUGACUCACACACACAAAAAUGGGAACAAUAUACCAGCUCAUUGUGAAAGGACCAAAUGGGCAGCAGAUUUCUCUUGACAUGGCCAAGACGGAGGAGCAGUUCAAGAGCAUGACCGUGCUGCAGCUGUGGGAGAAGAUACUAGAGACGUUUCCUGAAUACAAAAUAUCAGACCUGCAAGUGCAACUGAUCUUCACACACAACACUCUGGAUGAGGACUCUGCACUGUUGUCUGACUAUGGAAUCCAAAACAAAUCACUCAUCUUCAUGUGUAUACAACUACCAGGUGGAGGAAGUAUGGAAAAACUCAGUUCUUUUUAAAAACCUACUUUGGAUAUCCUCCUGGGACCCAGCCCAUUGAAAAUGUCCACUGUAGUGGACAUUUUGUUAACAUGCAUCUCCUUUGACUCUUUUGAGCUACUCUAUCAAUCCCUGAUGUGCUGUACAGAGGUCAUCCUGGUCUUUCCAGUGAUAUGUCAUUGGUUAAAAUUGCAUGCUGGGAAGUUCCUCUUUCUUUUCAUCCAAAAUGGCUGGCAUACCAAAAACAAAAUUGUAUAGAAGCAGGAGGAGAAGUCAAAUAUUGUUGAAUAAUUGUAAUUUUUACCAUGAAAAUCAUAUAUAUUCUUGUUUAUUAACAUGUGAGGAACUAUAUAAUUAGUUCUGAAAACAAUUAAAUAAUUCAAGUUUUCAAAUAACAGCCCUUUUAUAAAUGUCCAUUCUAGUGGACGUCAGGACUAUCUUCAUGGACUUUAUGACUCAAUAUCGUUGCAGGAGACGGAACUGAAGCAGACAUUUUCUGUACCAGAAAGUUCAGGGAGAUUCAGAUGUUGAGAGAGAUGAGGAUUUCACUCCUGGGAUAGAAGAGGGUCAAGAAGAAGGGGGGAAAGAUGCAGGAGGCUCCAUGAGCGCACAGAUAGAUACAUAGAGACAGAUAGGGACGAGCUGGAAAGACAUGGCCCUCUGUAGGCCAAGAGUAGCACGUAUGUCUUAUUGUUGUUUUUAUUUUAAGUGGAGCCACGAAAGAUGAGAGUUGCCUCAGGAAUGCAAGCUUUGUUUCUAUGAGCAGGUCAAAUGGAGACCACAUCCAUACAACUAGUCAAGAUGACCAUACAGCCCGUGCCGACUGGAGUCAAUGAGGUACUUUCCCAGUACAUUGACUACAAAGUCUUUGAAGAUCUGGAAAGAUUCACCAAAAACCAAACUAGUUUUUUAGUGACCAAAUAAACAGCAAUGUUCAGAUCAAUUACUUAUUCAUGUUUUAAAUAAAGGUGAAUGUAUUAUUGUAUUAAUAUCACUCAACCAUAAUUCGUUACAUAGUCCAUCUGUUAAUUGUGGCUGUCUUUUCAAACUAAUAUGGUCCUGACGUCCUCUACAGUGGACAUACUGUAACAUUUUAAAAUCAAAUUAAAAAAAAAAAGUCUAAAUUGCAAGAUGUUUUUUUAACCCUAAAUAGGUAGGAAAUCACAAAAAAAAGGAAAUUGGAAGACACUAUAAGCUCAACUCACACUCGAAUUUAAGUGUCUUGUACCUUGAACUUUUGAGCUACUCCAGUCAGGUGGUUUAUGGUCCAAACUACUGCAAUCACUCCUGUCCACUUCCUGUUAAUAUACCGUACACUUCAACACAUUUUUUAGUGGGCCUUUCUUUAAUUAGCCAACAUAUGCAGCAGUGCCUUUUUUUGCUUCACUUCUAUAACUCCUGUCUGCUUCUCCAGACUCCUAACUGGGACGUACUGACCUUCAUUUAUUGUGUUUUACACAAAGCUUUACCAUUAUUGACUCUCUCAUCACACAAACUGUCAUCACUUCUGGGUCAAUUUGUUUUAAAAAUGUGUCAUAUGUCAAAUGGUCAGUAGUUUUAUCCUAAAAUGUAAAAACCCCUGUUUGUGAAAUGUGAUAUUUCUUUGUUAAUUUCAGUGACUUUGUUGGCUAUUAAACAACUGUUCCAGUCUUAAAA